rnacentral:tRNA from 1 species
GGAGGAGUCGCAUAGCCUGGCCUAGUGCGCGCGACUGGAAAUCGCGUUGGCGGAUACCACCGCCUCGAGGGUUCGAAUCCCUCCUCCUCCG